UACACAUUGAUCGAUGUCUGGAGCUCACGCUCUCCUGCGCUUUUCGACAAAUCCUUUUCUCGCUCUACAAGGUUUCGGUCGGCGCACACGAUGCACACACUUUGCUCGUUUUCUCUUUUUCCCCUUCGGAAUUGUGCUUAUGAAGCAUUAGAAGUAAAUAAGCAUAUGCAUUUAUGCAAAUUGCAGAGUAGCAUGAGAUAAUGAAAACAAAGCUGCGCUGGCUCUCUGCCAAGCAGUGGCACUCGGGGAGCCUCAGGCAGAUCUGUGCCUCCUGAUUCAUCGGUGGAAGCAGCUGAAGAGAAAGCGAGGACAGGCGCCCUGACAUUCCUGUGCCCAUCGCUUACCAGAUGCAGACAGGCAUAGUCUGAGCGACACUUCCAUUGGAAUAUCGGCAUUCCCAGGAGCCUGCGGUCCUGACACAUUCGCCUCACUUUAAUUCCACGGCUUCUUCAUAAUUCCCUCCUCGGAAUUUACAAACAUUUCCCUCAGAUCAAUAGCUGUAUUGAUUAUUCAUUGUGAGCGAGUUCUGUUUCUCUGGCCAUACAGCUUUGGCACAGUGUGAGCUACUGCAGAACAGGAAGUAGGGGGGGAUUGAGCUGCUGUACAGGGUGAAGCCAAGACAGCAAAAAGGAGAGAACGAAAGCAGAAAUCAGAAAGAGAAAUACACAAAAAGGAGCUGAUAUAGAAAUGCCACCAGCAACCAAUCUGUGGCAGAAAUCAUGCAGAACUUUGGUCACCCUCCAUCAUUGGUUGCCACCUUGAUGUGACUGACUGAAUGUAUCUGGACAGCCCAGGACAAUAUGAUCCUACGUAAGAGUGUGAGGGGAAUCCUUGGCUCCAAGCAUGGAAGCAUGGAAGAAUCUAAUGAGGCAAGCAAUGGGCUUUUAUAGACCAAAACCUUUGGUAUAACAAAACCACCUGGUAUAACAAGAAGGAAACUUAUAGGAAUGGCCAUUGUUCCUAGGAAAGAUGAAAGAAGCUAGCUUUCUUGCUUCAAGGAUGUUGUUAUUAACUGGUGGCAGAAAGUACCUACAGAGGAGAUCAGCUAGCUAAUAUGGAGUUAGCUAAUUACGUUCAUGAACGAGAUCACCAAAAUAUUUCGUAAAGGAAAGGACUGGAUAUGUUUUGGACAUGAGCCAGACACAGCAAAACAAAGAUAUAAAAUCUCAUAGUAUGCACCCAGUAUAACGUGGAAGCAGUUGCUAGAAUGUCCUUAGUCACUGGAUAUAAAUAAGGUACACAAGCACAGAAAAAAAAAGGCACCAAAGACUGGUGUGACAAAGUGGUUAUUUAUAUGUUAUGGUGGCCACGAUGGAUCAAAGGACUCCUCAGAAUACAAUGUUCUUUUCUAAGUGGUCAUCCAGAAAAUUACAAGAGAUCUACAGAUGACACACAGUGCUGCCCAGGCUCAAAUGUAUAAGCUGAGGCUCUGCAAGAAGAUGUGCUCACUUGAUGUGCUCCAGCCAUGUCUCGUGACAUCAGUAACGUGUUCUCAAGAGGACCUCUUAUUCUUUGGAAACAGAAAGAAAGGUGCUCCUUUAUUAGUCAUAGAAGACAAAGACAAAGAUGCCAUGCAAGUCUGAGCCCUUCAAGAGUUUUUCGUACCCUGAAUCUAUUCUUUCCUUUACUCCUAAUCCCUUUGCUUGGCUUUGACUAGUAACCUCACGAAAACUUCUCUCAAGAGCAACCAAUUGAGCUCUGCUCUCCAAUUGCCUCAGAGCCCAGUGGAUAUUCCUUCAGAUGUCUAACAAGCAACUAACACAACUGAGGUUUAAAGAGACACAGAAAUCAAUACUGCAGCUUCCACUGGUCACGCUGAGGGAUUAGCCAUCCCAGGAAAGCCACAAGCAGCUGAAUAACAGAAUCAUGACUCAGAAUACCCUCAGAGGUUUAAUAAAACCAAAAACCAGUUUUUGACCAUUCAAACCUUUAACAGUCCUGUAGAAACAAAAAGCAUACAAUUUAACUUUUUUUGUAAGUAGUGCUGAUAUAAAGAGCUGCACUCAGUAUAUAUAACAUUCACACAACACAACUUCCAUCCCCAUAAAGAAAACAACUGCAUUGCACUAUGCUAUGAAUAUGGCAUUUUUUAUACUGUUAAAUGAUGCAGUGCGGCAUAUAGUAUUUUUAUGCUUUAUAUGGCACCAGUAAACGCUGGAGAUAGAUAUUUUAUCUAUUUAGGAAUGUAUGACCAAAUAUCUCAACCACCACCCUAUGUUUGAUCUGAGCUCCUCUUCAGAGCCAGCUGUAUCCCAUAGGCCUGAGCAGCUUAAACAGCCAAAGCAUGAGAGUGAGAUCUAAGGCAACUGCUACAUAUAUGAUUUAGGGGCAUUUUGAUGGCUGCAUUUUUUUAGCUCAGUAUGUGGUAUCAAGUAUCCCAAAUCCAUUUCAUUUGCCUUUUGUGGCGGUCUAUGGGAAUUUAGAAAGAAACGCUAGUGUGGACAAUUUCUAUAUGACUAUCAUGAUUUAGAGCAGAUUUGGUUUGAAAAUUGUGUCAUUCCUACCUAUAGAAAUAAUAACAGUUUUAGUUGCUUUUGGGUUAAUAAAUAUUUAAAUAUAUCGCAA